GCUUGCUGGAAUUUUCUCCCCCAAGCGCUGACUAUACGGCUUGGUGCAGUGAGAAAGGGCCUGGGGCCAGGGAGGAAGCAGGGAAAGAGAGCUGGAUCUUCAGCUGGGGAAACUGCCUGCUAGGGUGACACAGAGAAACAAACCCACACCGCAGUGCACAAGCCUGAAAACCCAAAGGGCUCCGAAAGAAUCUCUCCUCCCAUCCCCAAACCAUCAAAAAUAAGCAAAAUAGGUUCCCCCUCUGUUUUCCCGGUGCACUGCUCAUUGCCAGGCACUGCCCAGUACAACUCAUUUUCUCCCUCCCUCUCACCAGCCCUGAGCCCUGGGCCUCUCCCAGCCCUUACCCCACAUCCCGCCUCCUUUCUGGCCUGUUUCUGGACCACUGUUUCAUUUUGUUCUAGUCAGAGCACUUUUCACCUGUAAGAUUUUGACUGCCGAGCCUGUGCUUUUCUUGUCUGCUUUGUGAGCACUGUGACUUCAAACCACUUCUACUCUACAGCGUUUUUCUUUCCAUAGCACAGGCUGUUUGCCUGCAUUGUGAAACCCUGAAAUCCCCCCUCGGCUUUCCCCUCUCCGUGAAGCUAAGAGGUUGCACAAGAAUGCCAGAAAAAGCUAGGUUCACACAGGGAGCAGCAUUUUUGCUCCAGCAGAAGGUCUGCAAGGCUGACAAAGGGCACACAAAGCAAACAAAAAAAAGAAAACCGAGGGUUUGCAAAAGCAAGCAAACAAACAACAAGAAGAAAAACAACCAAAAAACCCUGCCACCCACACAGCCUGGGCUGCAGUUGUUGCUAUGACCCAGGUUACUGCCUCCCACAUGGACGAGGUGCUUGCUGGGGUUGGUGUGUUUUUGCUGCUAGGUGUUACCUUUGUCUCCCUGAUGGGAAAACGCUCUGCGCUGUCUCCAAAUACUGCCCCAGAGCGAUGAAGAAGUGAUGAAGAACACUGGGGAUUCGAGUGUAUACCUGUGUAAAUAUGCAAGCGUAAAAUAUACACGAGAAGGACAAGAAAGACAAGAAAGAUGUUUCAAGCAGAGAUUCCAAAAACGACAGGAAAAUGUCUCAGAAAGAAGGAGGGGGAUCUUGCAGAUGAUUGGACAGGUUCAAGCUCCUUCUUGUAUCAGUGUGAGUUCUGAACAAUUUCCAUGAGUUCACAUGGAUUUAUUUAGGGUCUAUAUUGGUGCAGCAAAAGUUGGAAGCAAGGUUGUAAAUGCAGUCCCUGUGAAGGAAAUAGUGAAAUAUUAGUGUUUGAUAUUCACUUUAAGCCUCACUUCUUUUUAAAAUAUUAUUACAAAAUUAUUAAAGGAUAAAACAAGUAAUUUCUGACUUUAGCUCCAUAACAUAGUCUGCAUAUCAUUUAAUAAUUAACACAAAUCAGGGAUGUAUUAUGAACAAGCAGAGCUGCCUGAUAGCAUCCUGACCUGUAUUUGCAUCUGACUGUGUGCCUGCCCAUGUAAUUGAAAA
rnacentral:lncRNA from 1 species